AUGGACACCAGACUGCAAUGUGCACUCGUGGUCUUGUGGCUUAAACUUGACUGGUUACGUGCAGAAGACCGAGUGGAGCAAAGUCCUCAGACCUGGAGAAUCCUGGAGGGCCAGAGUCUUGACCUCACCUGCAAUUACACUGUCAGUUAUUUCAGAGGCCUGUACUGGUACAGGCAAGAUCCUGGGAAAGGCCCUGAAUUCCUCUUCAGCCUGCUUUCAGCUGGGGAUAACAAGCACAAAGAUGGACUAAGAGCCACACUUUCCAAGGAAGGAAGUUCUCUGCACUUCACAGCCCCUAAACCUGAAGACUCAGCCACUUACCUCUGUGCUGUUGAGACACAGUGUUCCACAGGCACCUGUGUCCUCUACCCAAACCUGCAGCUGGGGUUCUAG